rnacentral:rRNA from 1 species
GACGAACGCUGGCGGCGUGCCUAAUACAUGCAAGUAGAACGCUGAAAGGAGGAGCUUGCUCUUCUGGAUGAGUUGCGAACGGGUGAGUAACGCGUAGGUAACCUGCCUGGUAGCGGGGGAUAACUAUUGGAAACGAUAGCUAAUACCGCAUAAGAGUAGAUGUUGCAUGACAUUUGCUUAAAAGGUGCAAUUGCAUCACUACCAGAUGGACCUGCGUUGUAUUAGCUAGUUGGUGGGGUAACGGCUCACCAAGGCGACGAUACAUAGCCGACCUGAGAGGGUGAUCGGCCACACUGGGACUGAGACACGGCCCAGACUCCUACGGGAGGCAGCAGUAGGGAAUCUUCGGCAAUGGACGGUAGUCUGACCGAGCAACGCCGCGUGAGUGAAGAAGGUUUUCGGAUCGUAAAGCUCUGUUGUAAGAGAAGAACGAGUGUGAGAGUGGAAAGUUCACACUGUGACGGUAUCUUACCAGAAAGGGACGGCUAACUACGUGCCAGCAGCCGCGGUAAUACGUAGGUCCCGAGCGUUGUCCGGAUUUAUUGGGCGUAAAGCGAGCGCAGGCGGUUAGAUAAGUCUGAAGUUAAAGGCUGUGGCUUAACCAUAGUACGCUUUGGAAACUGUUUAACUUGAGUGCAAGAGGGGAGAGUGGAAUUCCAUGUGUAGCGGUGAAAUGCGUAGAUAUAUGGAGGAACACCGGUGGCGAAAGCGGCUCUCUGGCUUGUAACUGACGCUGAGGCUCGAAAGCGUGGGGAGCAAACAGG